AGAGAGAGACAUGCGCGCAUAUCAAUAAGCGGAGGAAAAGAAACUAACAAGGAUUCCCUUAGUAACGGCGAGUGAAGCGGGAAGAGCUCAAAUUUGAAAUCUUCAAGGUUCUACCUUGACGAAUUGUAGUUUAUAGAAGUGUUUUCUGUUAGUGGAGUGGCAAAAGUUCUUUGGAAUAGGACAUCAUAGAGGGUGAGAAUCCCGUAUUUGGUCAUUCCUCCUAGCGUUGUGAUACACUUUCAACGAGUCGGAUUGUUUGGGAAUGCAGUCCAAAAUGGGUGGUAAAUUUCAUCUAAAGCUAAAUAUUGGCGAGAGACCGAUAGCGAACUAAGUACCGUGAGGGAAAGAUGAAAAGAACUUUGAAAAGAGAGUUAAACAGUACGUGAAAUUGUCAAAAGGGAAGCGUUUGACACCAGUGUUGUUUUUCCGAAAAUCAAUUACGAAUGUUUUAUUUUUGAGGAGUUAUGACUUCAUCGGCUUGCUCCUUUCUUUAUGAAACUUUCUUAAUGCACUUUUCGGUUAACAAGUCAACAUCAAUUUCUUUUGUUGUAAAAGGGUAUGAGGAAGGUGGCUUUCUUUUCGGAGAAAGUGUUUAUAGCCUUGUGCCUCUGCAAUCGGAGAGAUUGAGGUCUGCAGCGUAGAUCCUUCGGGGUUAGAUACGUUUGUGCUAAGUUAUAGCUUUUCAUAGACAACUUGUUGACUAUGUUUAGUCUUGUAGCUUACUCGCUGACGCUAUUUUACCUACGCUUAGGAUGUUGAUAGUCACAGCGUGUAC
rnacentral:rRNA from 1 species